GCGGUUGUGGCUCAGCGGUAGAGUGCAUGCCUAGCAAGCAUGAAGCACUGGGUUCGAUCCUCAACAUCACA
rnacentral:tRNA from 1 species